UUCAGUUUAUAAAAAAAAUGCAAUAUCUGCAAAGCACAAUAAAAGGAGUUAUGUCUAUAUCUCACUUAAUCUGCUUAAUCCUUCAUGAGAUAAGAAUUAUUGUUAUUAUAAUCCCCACUUUACAGAUGAAGAAACUAAGCCUCAGAGAGUUUAAUUGAUUUGCCCAUAAUUGCAUAGCUAAGCAUCAGAGAGGGGAUUUGAACCUAGAUCUUCCAGACUCCAAGACUAGUAAUCCUUCUACUAUACAGAAAUUGCUAGGCUCUGAUGAAGAGAAGUUCAUUAUCAUGAAUGAAGGGUUACCUCUGAGCUAGUUUUCUAUGAUGCCAAAACAUUAGAUUGAAUCAAUCAACUCAAAACAACAUAAAAACUUAGACACUUUUGUCUGAUAUACUGUUAGAUCAAAGGUGCCAGACAUAAUGUCAACAUGCUGCUGAGUCAUAUUACAAUGUAACUGGGAAAUGUUUAACAAAAUAAAUAAAGAUACAAUAUAAUAUAGAUGUCUAUUUUUUCUAAGUAAAUAUGCAGCCUCCAGGGAGCCUUACUUUCUGUGUUAGUAACAACUCUAAGACAGAAGGGCAAAGAGUAGGCAAAUGGGGUUGUGACAUGCCCAGGAUCACACAGCUAGAAAGUGUGUGAGACCAGAUUUGAACCCGAGUCCUCCAACUCCAGUCUUGGGAUGUCCCUAUUUCUUUUUAAGUUUGAUACCACUGAGAUAGAUCAAAAAAGACCUAUUUCUAAAAUUUGGAUUUAUAUUUUAGCUAGCUACUGGAGGAAAGUUAGUAAACCUAGUUUCCAUGAUAACAAAAAGGUAUACUGUGUACAAUCCCAGCAGCAUACCCAGUUGUAGUUGAUUUACAGUGAAGCUUCACCUUGUGACCCUGACUUUCUCAAGGUUCUACCUUUGUCUCCCUAAACCUCAGGGUUUUCAUUGUCUACACACAGAAGAACCACCUUUGAAAACAACCAGUUGUUAGCCAGCUGUUUAAGUGAACUCAACCUCCUGGCACAGGAAAUGCACAGAUGAUGCAUAUACAAGGCCUGAGCAAUGGAGAUUGAAGAUAAAAUCUUUCUUGGGAUGACGUUCAUCGACAGCCAGACAACAAUGUGACAUGGGUUGUCUCACCAAGAGUCACUGAAGUCCAGCAGCAGAACAAAAGUCAAGAUUGUGAUGAUGGUCCAAGAUGCAGUAGAUGACCUUGACAUCUUCAAUAUCUGAUAUCAGAUUUAAUACUUCUAAAAAAGCCAUAGAACUGCCAUAUUUGACCAAAUGCAAAUGCAAAACAAGAUCAUUUUCAAAGGAAAAAUAUAUACGUAGGACACAGGUUUGAUGAAUUCAAUAAUGUGUUAUAGGAGCCAAGAAAACUAAUAUUGUAUUUAACUGAAUUAAGAUAACUGUAGUAUCCAGGAUGAGGGAACUGGGCAUACCUUUGGGUUCUCCCCAAAGUCAGAACCCUUAAGGAGUACUAUGUUACUGUGGAUAUCAUAUUCUAAAAAGGACAUUAAUGAGGUAUAGAGCAUCCAGGGGAGGGUCACCAACCUGGUGAAGAGGCAUGCUAUCAGAAUCAGCAGAAGGAACUGGGGAUGGGUAAUCACAAGAUGUAAAGAUAUGAGGGGAGAGAGAACAGGGUAUCUGUAUUUGAGUAUUUGAAGGUCUAUAAUAUGAAACAAGGAUUAGCUUUGUUCUGCUUGCCCCCAAAGGACAGAAUAGGAAUAAUGAGUAGAAGUUGCCAAGAGGCAGAUUUUUGCUUCAUAUAAGGAAAAUAAUUCUUAACAAUUUGAAUUGUCAGAAGUGGAAUAGGCUGUCUGAGAUGAUUCCUCUUCAUUAGAAGUCUUCAAGCAAAGCCUGAUCCCCACUUGUCAGAAAUGUUGUA